AUACAGAGGGUGCAAGCGUUAAUCGGAUUUACUGGGCGUAAAGCGCGCGUAGGUGGCUAAUUAAGUCAAAUGUGAAAUCCCCGAGCUUAACUUGGGAAUUGCAUUCGAUACUGGUUAGCUAGAGUAUGGGAGAGGAUGGUAGAAUUCCAGGUGUAGCGGUGAAAUGCGUAGAGAUCUGGAGGAAUACCGAUGGCGAAGGCAUCCAUCUGGCCUAAUACUGACACUGAGGUGCGAAAGCAUGGGGAGCAAACAGGAUUAGAUACCCUGGUAGUCCAUGCCGUAAACGAUGUCUACUAGCCGUUGGGGCCCUUGAGGCUUUAGUGGCGCAGCUAACGCGAUAAGUAGACCGCCUGGGGAGUACGGUCGCAAGACUAAAACUCAAAUGAAUUGGCGGGG
rnacentral:rRNA from 1 species